rnacentral:lncRNA from 1 species
AAAACACAAUUUUGAAUAAAAAUUAUAGAUUCUUCUAAGAUUUGUUAAGUCAUAUAAUCAUAAUAAAUUCAUGAUUUUUAGUAAUAUAAUAUAUAUAUAUUUGAAUAAAUACUGGAUCUUUAUUAUCCCGGGCCCGAAAAAACAAAACAAAUAAAACAAGCCCAAACAAAUCAAAAGAGUCCAAAACCAACCUAAAAGAAGCAAAAACAAAACAAACACCACUGCCUGGGAAAGCAGCAAAACAGAAAUAUCAAAUAUCCUUUCCAUCCAUCAGCAAAAUUCAGAAAUCACCUACUCCCUAGAAACAACUUUCCCUCUUGAAAUUCCAAACGUUACUCUUCACUAAAAACUCCUCCCAUUUCUCCCUCAGUAAUCCGACUCCUUCUCUCCCUCAGAUGUUCCGUCCACUGUCGCUCUUCAUCCACCAUAGUCCUAAUCCCAGGAGGAACCCCAUACAUCAGAUAAGUAGAGACUCCCUUUUUAAUUCCUUCGGUAGCUAUGGUGUGAGCCACUUUGUUGGAUUAUUUGUUGAUAAAAUGAAAAGCACAAUAGUUGAAGCUUAAACUCCUGUGCUUAGAGUCUUUGAUAAAUGCUGCGAUUUCAGAUCUGUCCUCUUUUUCCUCAUGCAGUUUACGAAUCACCGUCCUAGAGUCUCCCUCAACUUCCACUUCACUCAGCCCUAGAUGAAUGCCCAGUUCAAGAGCCUGGAGGCACGCCAUCGCUUCAGCCGACGGUAUGUCCGCAUUUAAAAUUGUACCUGAGCACUUCCGCCUUUUCAUUUCUGACUACUAAUCUUGAGCAUGAUUCUUUUCAGUUUCUGUUGAAAGCAGCAUCAAAGUUUAUUUUGACUCGUGAUCCAACCGGAGCUUCCCAUCUGACCAAGUGGAGCCUUCUUUUAGGUACGAAAUGAUUCAAAUCAUCUAACUCCUUUAGAUAGUUUAAAACAAAAUCUGCUACCUGAGACCCCGAUCUAGAUUCCCCUUCAUGUAGAAACCUAUUUCUGUUGGCCCAAAUCGCCCAUAAUGCGCAAGUAAUCAUCCUACACUUGGAAAUAGAAUGAGAUCCAAACAUUGUUAUUAGCACUUCUAGAAAGUCAUAAUUUGCAACAGAACUAGGCCAAAAAAUAUUUAAUUUCUCCCAUAUUUCCUUUGCAACAGGGCAGUCUCUGAACAAGUGCUCUCUCGUUUCCGCUCCCGUAUGGCAUCUUCUGCAAGUGGCAAACCCUAUCAACCGUCUAUAGUGUAGAUUACUAUAGUUAGGCAGAUAGUUACGAGAGCAUCGCCAAAUUGUAAUUUUAAUUUUAGAGGGCAGCUCUAGAUUCCAUAGGCGCUUGUAAAGUUGUUUGUAAUUAAUCUGUAAUUGAUUCUGACCUUCAUGUAAAAGAUACUUGUAUCCACUUCGAACCGAGUACUCACCAGUCGGCUCUCCUCUCCAAACAGUUUGAUCCUUAUGCGAAUUCAAGGACAAGGGAAUACACAAAAUACUCUCAGCCUCCUUCUCCGUAAAGGUACUAGUAUCAAUCAGUUCUGCAACCUUUAUCAACCCUGAGUUAGGAUUUAAAUUCUGAAUUCUGGCUUCCUCUAAUCUAGGGACCCAAGUGUCUUCCCAAAUGGAUACUUGCUGCCCAUCACCAAUCUGCCAACCCAAUCCUUUUUGAAGGAGUCCCUUGGCACCCCAUAUACUCAACUAGGUAAAAGAAGGUAAAUUGUCCAACCUAGAGUUUAAAAAAUCAGAAUCUUUAUAAUAUUUCGCCUUCAAAGUACGCGCUAGUAACGAAUUAGGAUUACAUAAUAAACGCCAUCCAUGUUUGGCCAAUAAUGUAAUAUUAAAAAGGCUCAAAUUACGGAAACCCAUACCCCCAUCCUCCUUAAUCGCACUUAAAGCCUUCCAAUCACACAAAUGCAUACCUUUCUUUCCAUGCCCUUUUUGCUACCAAAAGGAACUCAUUAUGUUUUCCAGCUCCUAAAAUAAGGAUUUUGGCUAAAGAAAACAUGCCAUCGAAUAAGUGGGAAUUCCUUGCAAAACAGCUUUUAUAAAAACCUCUCUACUCCUUGGGAAAUAACCUUUACACUCUAGCUGUUUAUCUUCAGUUUCAGCCUAUCUUUCAUAUUUUGAAAAGCUCUCUUCUUUUUUCUUCCCACCCUAUUUGGAAGUCCCAAGUACUUCUCCAUAUCUGUCUACCAACGAACAUUCAGCUCUUGGAACACCAAAUUUUUCUCCCGAUCAGACACAUUCGUACUGAAGAAAACUAUGGAUUUUUCAAAAUUGACACACUGCCCCAAACAAGCCUCAUAUUCCGAUAAAAUUUCUUUGAGCGCUUCUAUCCCCCUACUUGAAACCUCACCAAACAGAAUGUAAUCGUCUACAAACAUAAGGUGGGUAAUUGUUGGAGAAGAUCUACACACCUUAGCCCCACAAAUCUUUCUUUCCUGACUUGCCAAUCUCAUUAACGCCGACAAUCCUUCUCCAAUAAAAACAAAUGAGGGCUUAAUGGAUCACCUUGGCGCAAUCUCCUAGUUGCCUUGAAACUUAAUCCCUCCUCUCCAUUAAUUAAAAUAGAGAAUUGAACGAAAUUUAAGCAGUGAAGAAUGACAUCAAUAAACAUAUCUGCAAAUCUCAUUUUUGACAUCACGCCUCUUAUAAAUGCCCAUUCUACUCUAUCAUAGGCCUUACGCAUAUCAAAUUUCAAAGCCAUGAAAUCUUUUUUGUCAGUUCUUUUGUUUUUGAAAGAAUGAAGUACCUCAUAUGCCAGCAAUACAUUUUCCGUAAUAAGUCUCCCAGGAAUGAAUGCACUUUGGGUUGCAUCAAUACAAUCGUCCAGCACACCCUUUAGCCGAUUGGCCACUGUCUUAGCGAUAAUCUUAUAAAUCACCGUACACAGGUUGAUGGGACGAAAAAUUUUCAGAUUCAUAGGAUUAACAGUUUUUGGAAUCAGCACAAUUUGGGUUCUAUUAAUUUCUUCCAACGAUUUUCCAUGAUUCAAGAUAUUCAAACAAAACUCACUAGUAUUUUUACCAAUAAUAUCCCAAUACUUUUGGUAAAAGACUAGUGAGAAACCGUCAGGCCCAGAAGCUUUUGUAGGCCCCAUCCCUUUCAGCGCCCCCACAAUUUCUUCCUUUGUGUAAGGAGCCAUCAGUCGUUGAUUCAUACCGUCAGAAAUACACGUUUGAACUCUAGAUAGGAUAUGCUCCAAAUUUCCAACCCCUUUAGAUUCAAAUAAAUCCAAAAAAUAGGCACGUGCAAUAUUCUCCAUAUCCUUCCCACCCGUAGCAAGAGAACCAUCACCUCUUUGUAAUUCACGAAUUCGAUUGUUACGCCGUCUCUAUGACGCAUAUCUAUGAAAAAAGAAGGUAUUUUUAUCCCCCAUCUUCAAUCAGUUAACUCUUGCUCGUUGCUCCCAGUACCGUUCCUCCUUGUCUAUCUCCAUGUUCAAAUGUAACUUGACCUCCACCAGUUCCGCCAAAUUCCCCUCCGAUCUAUCAUCAUGAUUUAGUUCCUCAAGUCUUCUAUUAAAUCUUUCCACUUCCUUUCCUCUGUUUAACUUUAUCUUUCUAGCCCAUUCCAUCAAUCCCGUGGAUAGAAUUGACACGCGGCUAAGGAAGGAACCUGAACUCCCAAUCCAUAGCUUCCGAAUCACUUCUUCACACGAUUCCUUUAGUAAUAUAAUAUUAAGCAUAAAAUAUUUAUAUAAAUGUUGAUAUAUUAAUAAUUAUUUUAUUGGUAUAUUCACUGUGCUUUUUUUUUUCUUUUACUACCUAGUAAAAACUUUCUAUACUGAGAAAGAGAUAAAUAUCUCUUUUCCAAAAGAUAAAGGUCUGCCCAUAUAACCAGACAUCAAAAUUUAGAAUUAUAAAUGUCUACCAUUCAUUAAAAAGGCUUUAUUCCACCAUCCAAAUUCACAAAUUUUAGUGAAGAAAAAACAACAAAAAAGUUUAGCGAAGAAAAUAUUCCCUUUUUAUCCGAUUCAAGGUCUUCACCGUCAUUAGCAAGGGUUAAACUUUUUUAUCACGAGAGUUCUCUGAAAAGAUAAAUAGUUAGUCACGUAAUGUGCUACAUUCUUAUAAGUAGGGAUCAAAUCUCUGACCACAUAAGUAAUGGACUAGAUGAGUUACUACCACACGACUUUGCCACACCUUAUAGUUAAAAAAUAAAAUUAUUCAAUAUACUAUAAUAAUAUAUAAAAAUGUUUUUUAAUAAUAUGUAAAAAUAUAAGGUAUAAUAACUUAUUUGACCUUCUAACUUUACAAAAAAAAUAUUUUUAGUGCUCUAUAUAUAUUUUUUAACAUUUUUUAACCAUUGAACUUGCAUUUUUGUCAAAUCAGCUCAAACUAAAUGGAAAAGACAAUUUUUUUUAAGACUUUGUUGGCAUUGCAUACAUGUGGAUUAUCAUAUAAAUGAUAUAAAAUCUAUUUUCAAAAAUUAAAAAUCAUUAAAACUAUUAAAAAAUAGUUUUUUUUAAAUUAAAAAAAUUAAUUAAAUAUUGAUAUAUCAUCUACCUAAUAAUUACAUGUAUACCAUGUAAACAAAGUUAAGUUAAUGUUUUCGUUCAUUUUGAAAUAAUUUGAUAAAAAUAAAAAUUUAAAGGCUAAAUAGACGAAACUUCAGGAGAGUUAUAAAAGUUAACAUGACAUUGAAGCACCUAUUGCAAAAGACGGACAAAUGAACAAGAAUUUAGCACAAGAGCAAUAGCAACAGAAAACAAGACAAAACUAACAAGACAUGACGGUUUUUUUUACUUUUACUUUUAGUCUCUACAUCAAAAACCAAAGGUUUCAGAUUCAGUCCCCUAACUUUAACAUUUUCUUUUUCAUGUAUCAUUUCUCAAGCAACAGUGACGAUGUUAGUGCCAUCUCUGUUGCUGAAGCUUGGUAGCACCUGAAAAGCAGAAUGCCUCGAUGAUGAUGAGGGAUCCCCUUGAUCAGAUUGUAAAGACAACUUUAAAUUCAACGGCGGACCCUCGGUGACUGCAUUCAAGUUCA